UUACUAAAAUCUGGUCGGUCGGAUCGUGUUUUUAUUGAAUUCGCGGGCGCGAACUAUAGUUAGCGGUCGCUAACUAAUGCUGUUGAAGUUAGCGGGCGCGAACUAUACUUAGCGGGCGCGAACUUGCACUGUUCAGUUCGCUGUUUUUCUAUUUAAAGACCUCUUAUUCGACCUAAACUCUUUUCCUUCGACUUUUAAAACCCUAAAACGGCUGGAGUCAUAUUCUAACUCAUUCCUAUCAACAUUCCUCUCAAUUUUAAUCCUUGGCUGAUUUGGGUUGAUUGAUUUCUGGGUUUUAUUGUUCUUAGUCUAAUCAAGAGACCCGUCGACUGCUCGUGCUUCGGAGCCUACGCAGGGUUAGCUGUUUGCCAAGAUUCACGUGGAUAAGCAAGCAGUUUAUGAUUUGAAAGCUGGUCCACUCCGAUUCUUUUGAUUCUUCGGAGGUUUUUAUGUUAUUUAACUAGUUACUGUUUUCGAACUCUUAGACCGCAGUAGAACUAGUUUAUUUAUUACAUCUGAUAUUACACUUUGGGAUUCUCGAUAUAUUCGAUUAUUUAUAUUUGGCGUGAUUA